rnacentral:rRNA from 1 species
GGGGAAUAUUGCACAAUGGGCGAAAGCCUGAUGCAGCGACGCCGCGUGAGCGAAGAAGUAUUUCGGUAUGUAAAGCUCUAUCAGCAGGGAAGAAAAUGACGGUACCUGACUAAGAAGCCCCGGCUAACUACGUGCCAGCAGCCGCGGUAAUACGUAGGGGGCAAGCGUUAUCCGGAUUUACUGGGUGUAAAGGGAGCGUAGGCGGCAAGACAAGUCUGAUGUGAAAGCCCGGGGCUCAACCCCGGGACUGCAUUGGAAACUGUUUAGCUAGAGUGUCGGAGAGGUAAGUGGAAUUCCUAGUGUAGCGGUGAAAUGCGUAGAUAUUAGGAGGAACAUCAGUGGCGAAGGCGACUUACUGGACGAUAACUGACGCUGAGGCUCGAAAGCGUGGGGAGCAAAC